UAAAAUGGGAGUCACUUGGGGAUAUUGCUAACAUGCAAAUUCUGUUUGAAGAUAUCUCUGUCUCUAUGCAUUCUGAGAUUCUUCAUGUCUUUAUAACUCCUGGGCAAUGUAAUGCUGUAGGACUUCAUCACUUUGAGCAGCAAGGUAGCACGGUUUCAGGCUAAUGGGUGUAACCAAGGGUAAGUCUGUAUCUUGACAAGAAAGAGUCAUAUAUUUGUCAGAGUUUAUAUAUCAAGGGAAUGCCAUCCAGCCCUGCUAACACAGAGAUUGCCAUGCCAUUAAGAACCUUCUACUGUUUCUGCUUUUAUUAGAGAGUGUUGUGAAAGCACUCAGCUUCUAACGCUUGCCUGGAUUUUCAGGAUGAUAGAUAGAGGGAAAGUAGGAUUUUAUGUGCAAUGGAAUUAGAAAUAAACAAGAUCUAGUGAGUCUAUGCAUUGGUAAGGCAGUUGAAUUGCUUUUUGGUUCUUUACAAGGUCUUAUCUAAUAGGAGAUCAUUAGAUAAGGCAAUGAAGAAAGAAGAAUGCAACCUUAAGAAUUGUGGACUUAUGAUUGGUGACCUGAAUGCUCUUUUCCUUGACACACUGAACAUUUAUGUUGGGUUAGAUCACUCACUUUUCUAAAAUAAAUAUGAACAGGAAGGAGCCAUUUGGAAUUUCUACUGCAUUUUAUAUUUUAAAUCCAAUUUAUCAAACAUGUUCUGGUUACUAGGUUACAAAGUAGUAUACUUGGCAUUGGGUAAAACAUAUUGACCCAGAUGGCAAGUUCCUGGCAUUGUAGUUUGCAUACUAAAGAAACACACAGGAAAAUAUACCCAAAUGUAAGAUGGUCUGGACUUUAAACUUACUAGAUUACAAAGUUACAUAUAAACUAAAGAAAAAUGGGUAAUUCUGUCAAGAAAUUAGUGAAAUAUUUUGCAGAAAGAAUUUGAACAUGGACGUUGCAUUUUUAUUUUGUGUUCUUUACAAAUUGCUUUCAAUAUGAUUUAAUUUUAUUAACCUGUCAUCUACUCUACCCAGAUCCAUUCCCUUCUUCCUUACCCACUAACUUUAUGGGGAAACCCCCCCCCCAUCCAUCAAGUACAGUUUGUGCUGCCCAUAUAUCCUUGAAUGUGUUUCAACCAACCAAGUAUGGUCAACCAACCAAAGGCCAUACCAUUAAAAGAAAUAGACUCUCCCAAUUCCAGACUCUAGUACCUGUUAAUAUAUCCUCUUUUUCAUGCCCGUGUAUCUUCCCCAAGAUUAAGUUUUGUCCUAGCCUGUGCAGGUCUUAUAUAUACUGUCUUAACUGCUCUGGAUUCUUAUGUGCAACUACCUUGCUGUGUGCAAAAGGCAGAUUUUUUUUCUAGUGAUCCAUUGGUUAUAGCACAAUUUUUCAGGCCCCUCUUCAUCAAUGAUGAUUAAAUCUUGUAGAAAGGAAUGUGAUACAGACACCCCAUCUAUGGAUGAGAAUUCCAUAGUCUGUCAUUCUUUACACAUUAAUCAGUUGUGGGUCUCUGUCCAUAAGGACUUUUAACUUAAGAACCUAAUGAGAAUUACCAUGAAGAGAGAGAAAUUACUAGUUUACCUAGUUCUUUAUAGAGACAAAGAUGCUAUUCUUUGGAAUUCAGCAAAAUCCGGGGUUGAAUUGAAUUGUUGGAAAAAUGGUACCACAUCAGAGUGAUAAUUCAGCAGCUGAAUCUCUCAAAAGUGGCUUUUUCAUAAUGACCUGUUCCCUUAGUGGCCAGGCGGAAGAGACAUUUUACAUAAGCAUUUUCCUUGAACACAGGAGCACAGGACUUCUGAGGGAGAUAUGAACCAAAGAUGAGAAGACAUGCAUCAUUCCAGAUCAUUUUCAACACACAUGUCCACAGCACUUCAAUUGCUCUUUGUUGUUUAAAGAGAAAAUUCAUCGUUUGUUAUGGUUUUGUUGGAAUAAUGGGUAUAAGAAAAACAUCUGAUUUUUUUUCCCCUUCUUGGAUUUGUAGGUGGAUAACCAUACAUAAGAACCUUUGAGGGCCUUACCAUCUUUUUUAUGUCUGAUGCCAUGGCCGGAAUGGAAUAAGGUUGGAAUCCUAUCUAGUUUAUUUAUCAUCCAUACAGACUCAAGAUUGAGUGUAGACACAAAUAAAAAUAAUCAAGAGCACUAACCAUUAAAAACAGAACAAUGAGUUUGUCAUCACAGUCAGAAAAUGAAAGAAAUUUAAAAUUCAGGAGGAAUUAAAACUAUAAAGAUACUGGAAACUGAUUAUAAUGGGGCCCAAUGUAAAUUGUUUAUUCCUACUAGAUGUUGCUUGUAAUGGGUAAGCUUUGCCUAAAACACCAGAAAGAUCUGGAAGUGCCACUUCACAUCAUAUAUCAUUCACUUUUGUAAAAAAUUCAUCUAGAGCACAGAGCAAUAAUAAUAAUAAAAAAGUGCUGCUUCCAAACUUUUGAUUUUAUUGAGUUCCACUAAGUUUGACACAAUGUACCCUGUUUAGUAAUUUUUUCAAUCCAUUUUAAUUAAAAUCCAUAAAGAUAAUUAGUGUUCCUGAUUCUAUUUUUUCUUCCUUUUUUUUUUUUUUUGAGUCAUCUGACCUGUUGCAGUCUAAGCUCACCUUGUUCCCCUGUUCUUGUUGUUGCCAUUGCUGACUCUUCUGUACCUGCUUCCACCACACUCUGACUUCAGCUCUGUGAGCUACGGAUUGUUCUGAUUUUUGUCAAAUAAUGCUAUUGAUCUCCAAUGGCAGCCAAUAACCAACCUCUGAAGACAUUGAUGGUAGUAGUAGAGAUCAGUUAGUAUUGUUGUCUUUGUUUUGUUAGAGUGAAACACAGAGAAUGUAUUAGCCAUCAGAAACAAAUAUGGAAAGGCUAUACAGGAUAGGUAUAGAGGUAAUAAGAAGGAUAUUAGGAAGUGAUACCAACAUUUGUUGAGAGCUAACUUACAUCAUAUACUAAAUCUGAUACUAGAAUCUGUAAACAUGUAAGGAACAUGAAAUGGGGCCCAUGAAACCAUGUCACCAGACAUGACCUUGUGUAAGGUUUACAGUGACCCUUCAUCAUCAGUGGCACAGUAAGAGAAUUUGUAAUGAAAGAUCCUGUCAUACAGUCACAUGUAGCAGAGAUGAUUUAAGAAUCUCCAUCUUUUCAGCCGGGCGUGGCAGUGCACACCUUUAAUCCCAGCACUCGGGAGGCAGAGGCAGGCAGAUUUUUGAGUUUGAGGUCAGCCUGGUCUACAGAGUGAGUUCCAGGACAGCCAAGAAACCCUGUCUCAAAAAAACAAAAGC
rnacentral:lncRNA from 1 species